UGGGGAAUAUUGGACAAUGGGCGAAAGCCUGAUCCAGCCAUGCCGCGUGUGUGAAGAAGGUCUUCGGAUUGUAAAGCACUUUACGUUGGGAGGAAGGGCAUUAACCUAAUACGUUAGUGUUUUGACGUUACCGACAGAAUAAGCACCGGCUAACUCUGUGCCAGCAGCCGCGGUAAUACAGAGGGUGCAAGAGUUAAUCGGAAUUACUGGGCGUAAAGCGCGCGUAGGUGGUUUGUUAAGUUGGAUGUGAAAUCCCCGGGCUCAACCUGGGAACUGCAUUCAAAACUGACUGACUAGAGUAUGGUAGAGGGUGGUGGAAUUUCCUGUGUAGCGGUGAAAUGCGUAGAUAUAGGAAGGAACACCAGUGGCGAAGGCGACCACCUGGACUAAUACUGACACUGAGGUGCGAAAGCGUGGGGAGCAAACA
rnacentral:rRNA from 1 species